rnacentral:rRNA from 1 species
UAGAACGCACAGGAUGCACCGUAGUUUACUACACCGUAUUCUGUGAGUUGCGAACGGGUGAGUAACGCGUAGGUAACCUGCCUGGUAGCGGGGGAUAACUAUUGGAAACGAUAGCUAAUACCGCAUAAGAACAUUUACUGCAUGGUAGAUGUUUAAAAGGUGCAAAUGCAUCACUACCAGAUGGACCUGCGUUGUAUUAGCUAGUAGGUGAGGUAACGGCUCACCUAGGCGACGAUACAUAGCCGACCUGAGAGGGUGAUCGGCCACACUGGGACUGAGACACGGCCCAGACUCCUACGGGAGGCAGCAGUAGGGAAUCUUCGGCAAUGGGGGGAACCCUGACCGAGCAACGCCGCGUGAGUGAAGAAGGUUUUCGGAUCGUAAAGCUCUGUUGUUAAGGAAGAACGAGUGUGAGAAUGGAAAGUUCAUACUGUGACGGUACUUAACCAGAAAGGGACGGCUAACUACGUGCCAGCAGCCGCGGUAAUACGUAGGUCCCGAGCGUUGUCCGGAUUUAUUGGGCGUAAAGCGAGCGCAGGCGGUUAGAUAAGUCUGAAGUUAAAGGCAGU